GUUGAACGCUGGCGGCAGGCCUAACACAUGCAAGUCGAGCGGGUGAAGGGAGCUUGCUCCUGGAUUCAGCGGCGGACGGGUGAUUAAUUCCUAGGAAUCUGCCUGGUAGUGGGGGAUAACGUCCGGUGACGGGCGCUAAUACCGCAUACGUCCUGAGGGAGAAAGUGGGGGAUCUUCGGACCUCACGCUUUCCGAUGAGCAUAGGUCGUAUUUGCUAGUUGGUGGUGUAAAGGCCUACCAAUGCGAGGAUCCGUAACUGGUCUAAGAGGAGUAUCAGUCACAGUGGAACGAAGAUAAGCUCUAAAAUCCGAAGGGAGGCACGAGUGGGGAAUAUUCGACAAUGAGCAAAAGGCAAAUCCAGGCAAGCCGCGUGAGUGAAGAAGGUCGUCGGAGUGUAAAGCAUGUAAAGUUGGGAGGAAGAGCAGUAAGUUAAAACGUACCAGUUUUGACGGUACCAAAUGAAUAAGAACCGGCUAACUCCGUG
rnacentral:rRNA from 1 species